rnacentral:rRNA from 1 species
GACCUAGCGGCGGACGGGUGAGUAAUGCUUAGGAAUCUGCCUAUUAGUGGGGGACAACAUCUCGAAAGGGAUGCUAAUACCGCAUACGUCCUACGGGAGAAAGCAGGGGACCUUCGGGCCUUGCGCUAAUAGAUGAGCCUAAGUCGGAUUAGCUAGUUGGUGGGGUAAAGGCCUACCAAGGCGACGAUCUGUAGCGGGUCUGAGAGGAUGAUCCGCCACACUGGGACUGAGACACGGCCCAGACUCCUACGGGAGGCAGCAGUGGGGAAUAUUGGACAAUGGGGGGAACCCUGAUCCAGCCAUGCCGCGUGUGUGAAGAAGGCCUUUUGGUUGUAAAGCACUUUAAGCGAGGAGGAGGCUACCGAGAUUAAUACUCUUGGAUAGUGGACGUUACUCGCAGAAUAAGCACCGGCUAACUCUGUGCCAGCAGCCGCGGUAAUACAGAGGGUGCAAGCGUUAAUCGGAUUUACUGGGCGUAAAGCGCGCGUAGGUGGCCAAUUAAGUCAAAUGUGAAAUCCCCGAGCUUAACUUGGGAAUUGCAUUCGAUACUGGUUGGCUAGAGUAUGGGAGAGGAUGGUAGAAUUCCAGGUGUAGCGGUG